AUUGAACGCUAGCGGGAGGCUUUACACAUGCAAGUCGAACGAGUGGCGGACGGGUGAGUAAUAUAUCGGAACGUGCCCAGUAGCGGGGGAUAACUACUCGACAGAGGGCUAAUACCGCAUACUAUGGGAGCCGCCGAUAUCGGAUUAGCUAGUUGGUGGGGUAAAGGCUCACCAAGGCCACGAUCCCUAGCGGGUUUGAGAGGACGACCAGCCAAACUGGGACUGAGACACGGCCCAGACUCCUACGGGAGGCAGCAGUGGGGAAUUUUGGACAAUGGGGGAAACCCUGAUGCAGCCAUGCCGCGUGUAUGAAGAAGGCCGUAGGGUUGUAAAGUACUUUCGGCAGAGAAGCGGUAUCGGCAGAAUAAGCACCGGCUAACUACGUGCCAGCAGCCGCGGUAAUAC
rnacentral:rRNA from 1 species